GACGAACGCUGGCGGCGUGCUUAACACAUGCAAGUCGAACGGAAAGGCCCCUUCGGGGGUGCUCGAGUGGCGAACGGGUGAGUAACACGUGGGUGAUCUGCCCUGCACUUUGGGAUAAGCCUGGGAAACUGGGUCUAAUACCGAAUAUUCCUUGCUGGUCGCAUGGCCUGGUGAGGGAAAGCUUUUGCGGUGUGGGAUGGGCCCGCGGCCUAUCAGCUUGUUGGUGGGGUGAUGGCCUACCAAGGCGACGACGGGUAGCCGGCCUGAGAGGGUGUCCGGCCACACUGGGACUGAGAUACGGCCCAGACUCCUACGGGAGGAAGCAGUGGGGAAUAUUGCACAAUGGGCGUAAGCCUGAUGCAGCGACGCCGCGUGAGGGAUGACGGCCUUCGGGUUGUAAACCUCUUUCAAUAGGGACGAAGCGCAAGUGACGGUACCUAUAGAAGAAGCACCGGCCAACUACGUGCCAGCCGCCGCCGUAA
rnacentral:rRNA from 1 species